UACAGAGGUGGCAAGCGUUGUUCGGAAUUACUGGGCGUAAAGGGCGCGUAGGCGGCUUACCAAGUCAGGCGUGAAAUUCCCGGGCUCAACCUGGGGGCUGCGCUUGAUACUGGUGAGCUUGAAUGCGGGAGAGGAUAGUGGAAUUCCCAGUGUAGAGGUGAAAUUCGUAGAUAUUGGGAAGAACACCGGUGGCGAAGGCGGCUAUCUGGCCCGUAAUUGACGCUGAGGCGCGAAAGCGUGGGGAGCAAACAGG
rnacentral:rRNA from 1 species